UAGUUAAUAUCAAUCUUAACAUGUAAACAAAAAUACUGUUAAUAAAAUCCUUCUUCCCUAAUAGGUCUAAUUUUGGUCACCAGCAUCUGAUCAUUAUGUCAACUGCCUGUGCAAUGCUUAUGUUUGAGAUAGAUGCUAUGCAUUUGUUUGACACUGU